UACGAAGGGUGCAAGCGUUACUCGGAAUUACUGGGCGUAAAGGGCUCGUAGGCGGCCAACUAAGUCAUACGUGAAAUCCCUCAGCUUAACUGGGGAACUGCGUGUGAUACUGGAUGGCUUGGACUUGGGAGAGGGAUGCGGAAUUCCAGGUGUAGCGGUGAAAUGCGUAGAUAUCUGGAGGAACACCGGUGGCGAAGGCGGCAUCCUGGACCAAUAUUGACGCUGAGGAGCGAAAGCCAGGGGAGCAAACGGG
rnacentral:rRNA from 1 species